rnacentral:tRNA from 1 species
GCCCGUGUAGCUCAGCGGCAAGAGCGCCGGAUUGUGGCUCCGGAGGUCGACGGGAAGUCGUACCCACUUGACAGACCCGUCCACCGGUA